rnacentral:lncRNA from 1 species
AAGCCCCACAUACAAAAUGAUGGGGGACCAACCAACGGCCUGGAAACCCAGGGGGCUCCCUCGGUUAAAUUUUGUUCCACGAAAUCUUUUCUGCCCCUCCCCACCCUUGCUGACCGGGCUCUCCGGAGCCUCCCCUCGGAGAGGCUAGCGGAAGGACAGCGGGGCGGCGGCGGGGUGGAGGUGGGGGCUGACCGGGCUCGGGCUCCGCGCGCUGUAUGGGGACGAAGGGCGGGGUCGGGGCAUCCAGCCGGGCGCCGGGAGCCCACAGCCCGGCACCCGCGCGGCCAGGCCUCGGCGAUCCGCAAGAGGGCGGACUGGGCGGGCGGCGAAGCGCAAGGCCUCUGCAGGGCGGCGGGCGCCUCGCGGGCGCUGGCUUCAGGUCUUCGAGAGGAGGAAGUGCGAGUCCGGGCCGAGGGCUUCCGAGACGGAAGGGCCGGGGCUUCUGCAGAGAGGCCUCGAGCCCGGGCAGGCGAGACCCCGCAGGACCUGCUCCGCAGAGCGGGGAUCGCACCUACUUGCGGAGCUGGAGGAGCCGGCGCCGGCGCUCCGGGGACGCGCGUUCUGUGUCGAGCCCUCGCCUGGACUCGCCCGCCGGCGCUGUGCGCGGGGCACCCGGGCCCAGGCAGCUGCACUCGGACCGCGGGGCCUUCCCGGUCUGGCUCCUCGGACGGUUCCGGGCGCAGUUCGCCAACUCCAGGCCGUGGGGCGCCCGGAACAUUUGUUGAACUCUGCCACAUUCCGCGAUUUUGGCAGUGAGUUAGACUACCCAGGUCCCAGGCCCGCGCAGAGCCUUGAGUAGGAAGUCUCCUUUUCCCAAGAAAAGAAAUAAGCAGGAUCCGCCCAUACAGGUACGGCUGGGAAGACUUGGCUGUCUUCAGAUCACUCCACUUCUUGUCUUCACUUUGGCCUUGCCACUAACGUCGUGACCUUGAGCAGCUCUCACGACUUUUUGGCCCUCUGUGUGAUGUAGAAUAAGCCAGUUUUCUCCAUUUAAGACAUAUCAUUCUGUUUAAUUCAGAUAAGUAGUCUUAUUGAGUGCCUGACUUGUGCAAGAUCUCUACUAAGUGCUGUGAUAACAAUGAUGAGCAAAACAAACAGUGGGCCUGCACAGGUCACCGGGGAGGCAGACCGUGAGGACACAUAAGAAAGAUUACUGGGCGCAUGGAAGCUUGCAGCAGGAGAUUUAACCCCCGCCACACACACACACACACACACACACACACACGCCCCACAUACGAAGUCCUACACACACAUUCAUUCACCCUCAACACUUAGGAAGUCAUGGCAGAGUCCUAAUCAGCUGGCUGGAAGGUGAGGUGUUGGAAACAGAAGGAAGGGCCUUGAUAAGGGCCUUCCAGGUUAGAGUCACUGUGGAACAUUAACAAACUGCAAUAAACCUAAUACCGCUGGAGCUUGCAGGGUUUGGGAGAAAGGCUGGCGAGAGAAGCAGGGUUUGGGUCAUGAAUCUUUAUAAAUAAAACAUGAUGAUGAUGAUGUAGACUGUGGAAUUCUCACUGAGGGCAUUGGAUAUAUAUAUUGUAAUCUCCAGAGCAAACAAUGUUUUAAAAAAUCAAAAGGUAUAACUACGAAGCCAAAAGAGGCAAUCAAAUGGAAUACUAAAAAAUGCUUGAUUAAUUCUAAAGGCAGGCAGAAAGGAAAAAAAUGAACAAAGAGCAGAUGGCACAAAUAGAAAACAAGAUAAUUGACUUAAAUCCAAC